rnacentral:rRNA from 1 species
GACAGAGGGUGCAAACGUUGUUCGGAAUUACUGGGCGGAAAGCGCGUGUAGGCGGCUCUGCAAGUCGGGUGUGAAAUCCCAUGGCUCAACCAUGGAAGUGCACUCGAAACUGCAGGGCUAGAGUCCUGGAGAGGAAGGUGGAAUGCUUGGUGUAGAGGUGAAAUUCGUAGAUAUCAAGCGGAACACCGGUGGCGAAGGCGGCCUUCUGGACAGUGACUGACGCUGAGACGCGAAAGCGUUGGGAGCAAACAGG